rnacentral:rRNA from 1 species
UACGAAUGGGGCUAGCGUUGCUCGGAAUCACUGGGCGUAAAGCGCACGUAGGCGGGUCCUUAAGUCGGGGGUGAAAUCCCGGAGCUCAACUCCGGAACUGCCUUCGAUACUGGGGACCUCGAGUCCGGGAGAGGUGAGUGGAACUGCGAGUGUAGAGGUGAAAUUCGUAGAUAUUCGCAAGAACACCAGUGGCGAAGGCGGCUCACUGGCCCGAUACUGACGCUGAGGUGCGAAAGCGUGGGGAGCAAACAGG